AGUGUGGAAGUUGGACCCAGUGUUGAGGUUGGCUCAAGUGUAGAAAUGAGCUCAAAUGGGGAGCUGGAAGUGUGUCGGGCCUGUGGUAUCCGUGUUCCUCGUGACACCCUGCUUCAUGGUAAAUUCUGUAGCUCCAUUUGUGCUCAGCCUUCUAGUGGCAGAUCAUCUCCAGGCGACAUGAGGGAAAGUCAGGUGGUUGAUGGUGAGAGGCUCGGUAAACGUGUGC